GCUUGUCACUUCCAAUACAUGC
rnacentral:miRNA from 2 species